UACAGAGGGGGCAAGCGUUGUUCGGAAUUACUGGGCGUAAAGGGCGCGUAGGCGGCCCGCUAAGUCGAGCGUGAAAUCCCCGAGCUCAACUCGGGAACUGCGUCCGAUACUGGCGGGCUUGAAUCCGGGAGAGGGAUGCGGAAUUCCAGGUGUAGCGGUGAAAUGCGUAGAUAUCUGGAGGAACACCGGUGGCGAAGGCGGCAUCCUGGACCGGCAUUGACGCUGAGGCGCGAAAGCUAGGGGAGCAAACGGG
rnacentral:rRNA from 1 species